GCUUGGAGGAGCUGCCUACAAGAAACACCAAGGAGGUUGAAACUAGCAAUAAGGAACCCUUGCCGUGAACUGACAAGAGAACUGUUGCACUAUGAUGGCAACAAUAAUUCACCCUUCACCUGAAAGGGCAUAUCCUAAUUCUGUCCUAAGGGAACGUGUUACCACCAUGCUUGACUUGGAAAUUACCCAUGAAAAGGAGACAGGAUGAAGAUGCUGCUGCAGUUGGAACAUGCUGCAGCCUGAUGUUCUGUGUCCUCCAUACCUGGUAUUGGUCUCUGGAAUACUUGGGAGGUUGAGGUUGGUUUUCAGGGAAGGAUUCUUUCCCCACAAAGUGCUCAGGCACUGCCCAGGCUUCCCAGGGAAUGGUCACGGCCCCAAGGCUGCCAGAGCUCCAGGAGUGCUUGGACACUGCUCUCAGGGAUGCACAGGGUGGGAUGGGAUUGAGGGGUGUCUGUGUAGGGCCAGAGGUUGGACUGGAUGAUCCUGGUGGGUCCCUGAGGAUUCUCUGAACACUGCACUCCUCUCUGGAAGGAGCAAAGCAACCAUGCAGACUGGUUACUGCUGUCAGCAGAGAAUACCAGAACUGUUAAUGACAAAGAGGAGCAAGAAACUCAUUCUUCAGCUUUUCUCCUUUCCAGCAAGUUCAGUCAGAGCAAAUUCUUUGGCAAAAAAAAGGUAACAAAAAGAUCCAAGAAAUCAAACAUAAAUCUGGUAAUCUGCCGAGAGGGGAAGAGAACUGGCAGGCUUUAUGAUUAAGCACACUUGGUGUUAUCCAACAGAUCCAAGAGCAACACACAGCAACUGGACUCUGGACAAGAAAUCUAUUCUACUGCCUGCUCUCAGUAUCGGCUUUUGGAUGCUUUCCUGAGAUGCAAUCCAGCUAGGAAACUGGGACCCUGGAGCAAGGUACUAUAGAAAAUGAGAAGAGCCAAAACAGUGAAACUGGAGUCAACUUCCACUGAGAAGGAUGGGACAAGGACUGGUGGAGCCAUGAUAUGCAAUGAAAACAACUACUUUAAACUCAGAAGAGUGACAAUUCCAAAAAGUUUAAAAGAAUUUUUCAUCUAUUAAUCCUGAAACAUAGAAACAUCUUUUUCUAGUGUACUGUGUGGAAAGCAAACAGUAUUUGUUGUUUGUAUCUGCACACAGAGGGGCUGAGCAAAUAAUAAUGUGACACCAUGGCCACAUUUAGGCUCCAGAUUGCCAAAAUGUGCAGCCAAGUCUUGCUUGCUGAACUAGCUCUUGAAAAGUGUCAAUACAUUCCUAUCCACAUUUAAAUUCCACUUUCAGGACCAUUUUGUUGUUGUACAAGAUGAUA